GCACAAGCGGAGGAACAUGUGGUUUAAUUCGAUGAUACGCGAGGAACCUUACCUGGGCUUAAAUGUAGAGUGCAUGAUGUGGAAACAUGUCUUCCCUUCGGGGCUCUCUGCAAGGUGCUGCAUGGUUGUCGUCAGCUCGUGCCGUGAGGUGUCGGGUUAAGUCCCAUAACGAGCGCAACCCUUAUCGUUAGUUGCCAGCGGGUAAUGCCGGGAACUCUAACGAAACUGCCGGUGUAAACCGAGAGGAAGGUGGGAUGACGUCAAAUCAGCACGGCCCUUAUGUCCAGGGCUACACACGUGUUACAAUGGCCGGUACAGAGGGCAGCUACCUGGAGACAGGAUGCGAAUCUCGAAAGCCGGUCUCAGUUCGGAUCGGAGUCUGCAACUCGACUCCGUGAAGCUGGAUUCGCUAGUAAUCGCGCAUCAGCCAUGGCGCGGUGAAUACGUUCCCGGGCCUU
rnacentral:rRNA from 1 species